rnacentral:rRNA from 1 species
AAAAUUUAAUUUUUUUUAUGUUAACCUAACACAAGAGCAUUUCAAGUAAGAUUAAAAGAAAAAGAAGGAACUCGGCAAAUAUUAACCUCGCCUGUUUACCAAAAACAUCGCCUCUUGCCCCAUAUAAGAGGUCCAGCCUGCCCAGUGACUCUGUUCAACGGCCGCGGUAUCCUAACCGUGCGAAGGUAGCGUAAUCACUUGUUCUUUAAAUGAGGACUAGUAUGAACGGCACCACGAGGGUUAUACUGUCUCCUUUUUCCAAUCAGUGAAACUAAUCUCCCCGUGAAGAAGCGGGGAUAAACAUAUAAGACGAGAAGACCCUAUGGAGCUUUAAACUCAAUAACACUUGCUUUUAAACAUAAAUACUUCAGAGUAAUAAACACCCAUUACGGCCUCCUGAUUAUUAGUUUUAGGUUGGGGUGACCGCGGAGCAAAAAACAACCUCCACAUUGAACGGGGAACAUCCCCUGAGCCACGAGCCACAACUCUAUGCACCAAUAAAUUGACAUCUCUUGACCCAAUAUAUUGAUCAACG